AGUUCACAGCAGGUUGCAACACCCAGCCACAAUCUUGUACUGUCCAAUACCCCCCAGAGUUGUGCACAAAGUAGAAAAAGGAAGGCAACUGGCACCUUGACUACCACUACUUCAGCCUCUCAGUCAAAGGCAACCAAGCCGACAAAAAAGGCACAAAUGGAGCCCCUCCAAAUUGUCAGAGUGAAUGCAAGGGCAAAAAUUUCUACACCUUCUGGUGGCUCAGCUAGGGUUGAUUUGCAGGCCAAUGUUGCAGGCUCCAACAGCUCUACAAGUGCAGCUGUCACUGUUACUUCAGGGAAAGCAUCUGUAUCUGUUUCAGCUCAAGAACCUGCUAGGACAACUACAAAGAACAAAGCUAAAGUACCACUGCUUCUUCUCCCUCCAUGGGAAUCUGACAAACUAUGA
rnacentral:lncRNA from 1 species